rnacentral:rRNA from 1 species
AACGAACGCUGGCGGCAGGCUUAACACAUGCAAGUCGAACGCCCCGCAAGGGGCGUGGCAGACGGGUGAGUAACGCGUGGGAACAUACCCUUUCCUGCGGAAUAGCUCCGGGAAACUGGAAUUAAUACCGCAUACGCCCUACGGGGGAAAGAUUUAUCGGGGAAGGAUUGGCCCGCGUUGGAUUAGCUAGUUGGUGGGGUAAAGGCCUACCAAGGCGACGAUCCAUAGCUGGUCUGAGAGGAUGAUCAGCCACAUUGGGACUGAGACACGGCCCAAACUCCUACGGGAAGCAGCAGUGGGGAAUAUUGGACAAUGGGCGCAAGCCUGAUCCAGCCAUGCCGCGUGAGUGAUGAAGGCCUUAGGGUUGUAAAGCUCUUUCACCGAUGAAGAUAAUGACGGUAGUCGGAGAAGAAGCCCCGGCUAACUUCGUG